rnacentral:rRNA from 1 species
UACAGAGGUCUCAAGCGUUGUUCGGAUUCAUUGGGCGUAAAGGGUGCGUAGGUGGCGCCGUAAGUCGGGUGUGAAAUUUCGGAGCUUAACUCCGAAACUGCAUUCGAUACUGCGGUGCUUGAGGACUGGAGAGGAGACUGGAAUUCAUGGUGUAGCAGUGAAAUGCGUAGAGAUCAUGAGGAAGACCAGUGGCGAAGGCGGGUCUCUGGACAGAAACUGACGCUGAGGCGCGAAAGCUAGGGGAGCAAACAGG